UGUGAAUCGCAUGAGCGGCUUGAGUUUGUUGGUGACUCUGUUCUUAACAUUUUGAUCACUCGACAACAGUUUAACAUGUAUCUAAAUCUUCCUCCGAGGAUGUUGUCUCCACUUCGUUCUGCUAAUGUUGACACGGAAAAGCUAGCACGUGCAGCAAUUAAGUAUGGCUUGCUUAAGUAUUUACGGCAUAAUAACCGCAAACUCAGUCACAAAUAUCUGACUGCGGAAAGAAGGUAUCUGAUGUCAAAGUGAUUCAUGGUGCUUUUGAAUAUGUGGUAAAUCAGAGGCCAGAUGGUGAUUGUGUCCCCUAAAGACAGAUACAAAUAUAGCUGCUGCUUAGAGGAGCCAAAAAGUUGGUUGUUGAUUUGUGUCGUCCAUCAGGUCUCAGUGGACUUGCCAAGAAGAAGCAUGUUAUCCUUCCACUGACAGGAGAGUGACGUGGUCACUGCGCUGUGAAACCAGCCUAGCGCAAUGCCUUCCACUUUAAAGACCAGGACCACCGAGCCUUCGCUCAGUGGCCAUGAGCCAUCUCUAUACUGAUGAUUUCAGGGGUGCUAACGGCAUGGUUAGUUAUUUUGUUUUUUUGUUGCAGUUUGGGGGUUGGUUAUUUUUCUUAUCCAACUAUUGCUCAUCUUUCCUUGGAUGAGUGAAACUUCACGCAUUGUACCUAUUAUCAGCCUUGGUUUCUUGAAUGUAAAGCAUAUGUUAUUCAUUCUGUUGAAAUUUUAUGAUUUGCAAUACCAAGUUGUCUAUUAUGGUCUC